GCUUGUCUCAAAGAUUAAGCCAUGCAUGUCUAAGUGUAAAUACGUCUACACUGUGAAACUGCGAAUGGCUCAUUAAAUCAGUUAUCGUUUAUUUGAUGAUCUCUUGUUACAUGGAUAACCGUAGUAAUUCUAGAGCUAAUACAUGCGUCAAGCCCCGACUCACGAAGGGGUGUAUUUAUUAGAUACAAUCGACGCCGUAAGGCUUUUGAUGAAUCAUAAUAACUGAACUAAGCGCAUGCUUCCGCGGCGCUGUUUCAUUCAAGUUUCUGCCCUAUCAGCUUUCGAUGGUAGGGUAUUGGCCUACCAUGGCGUUAACGGGUAACGGAGAAUUAGGGUUCGAUUCCGGAGAGGGAGCCUGAGAGAUGGCUACCACAUCCAAGGAAGGCAGCAGG
rnacentral:rRNA from 1 species